rnacentral:lncRNA from 1 species
AACAUAAAGUCUAUCUACGCGUUUCUCAAAUAUUUUCCUUCUCACGCGUAAUAUCCGCCCCCGCCAAUUCUUUCGCAACGUAAUAUCCGUGAAUUUCUCAAAUAUCUCAUUAAUCCACCUACCAUUUGAAUUUAAUAAUAUACUAAAUAGUAAAUAGAAUAGAUAUGAUAACACGUGGCAAGCAUAUAGAAAGUCACGUUAGGAAAAAUGUCUAUCUUUUUUACUAAUAUUUUUAUGUCCAAUAAUUUUCAACCAAUCAUUUCAAAUAAUUAACUAAGUAAUAAUUUAUUCCCAAAUAAAGAUAAAUAUUUUUCUUCUCACGCGUAAUAACCGCACCCGCCAAUUCUUUUGCAACGUAAUAUCCAUGAAUUUCUCAAAUAUCUCAACAUAAUUAUAGGUGACUUUGAUAUAAAAUUCCCUUCUUUAUAGGUGAUUUUUAAUAAUAUAGUAAAAGAUAUUAAUUUUUUGCCUUCUUAAAUAUUUUCCUUCUCACUCGUAAAUUAUAUUAAUUAUAUUUAAUUGGUAUAAUAAAAGUUAAUAAUAAUAUAUUAAUUUUAUUUCCUAAUUAAUAAAAAUAUAGAGUAAUAAUAGUUAUUAGUAUUGAUUCCUUAAUUAUAAUUAUAGGUGACUUUGAAAUAAAAUCCCCUUAAUUAUAGAUGAUUUUUAAUAAAAUAAUAAAAGAUACUAUUGUCUUAAAAAUUUAAUUUUAUUUUUCCUAAAGUAGAAAAUCUAUAUUUGAGCUUGUAAUAAUUUAUUCCCAAAUAAAGAUAAAUAUUUUCCUUCUCACGUGUAAUAUCCGCACUCGCCAAUUCUUUCGCAACGUAAUAUCCGUGAAUUUAUCAAAUAUCUCAACAUAAUUAUAAUUAUAGGUGACUUUGAAAUAAAAUCACUUUCAUUAUAGGUGAUUUUUAAUAAUAUAGUAAAAGAUAUUGAUUUUUUGCCAUUAGAUCUUAUCUAAUGAUUGAAAAUAAAAGUAUCUGUUACUUUUUGUGACAAUAUUACCCUCGCAUUUAUAUCAUAUUUUCUAUCUACGCGUUUCUCAAAUAUUUUCCUUCUCGUGCGUAAUAUUCGCACCCGCCAAUUCUUUCGCAACGUAAUAUCCUUGAAUUUCUCAAAUAUCUCAUUAAUCCACCUACCAUUUGAAUUUAAUAAUAUAUUAAAUAGAAUAGAUAUGAUAACACGUGGCAAGCAUAUAGAAAGCCACGUUAGGAAAAAUGUCUAUCUUUUUUAAUAAUAUUUUUAUGUCUAGUAAUUUUCAACCAAUCAUUUCAAAUAAUUAACUAGGUAAUAAUUUAUUCCCAAAUAAAGAUAAAUAUUUUCCUUCUCACGCGUAAUAACCGCACCCGUCAAUUCUUUCGUAACGCAAUAUCCGUGAAUUUCUCAAAUAUCUCAAUAUAAUUAUAGGUGACUUUGAUAUAAAAUCCCUUUCUUUAUAGGUGAUUUUUAAUAAUAUAGUAAAAGAUAUUAUUUUCUUAAAAAUCUAAUUUUAUUUUUUCUAAAGUAGAAAAUCUAUAUUUGAGCUUGUAAUAAUUUAUUCCCGAAUAAAAAUAAAUAUUUUUCUUCUCACGCGUAAUACUUGGAGUCUGUCUGCCCUACGGGCAUCACUCCCCUACUUGCGUACUUUUUCCUUUUGCUAUUCAAUAGAAAGUCAUCUUCGGCUCUUCCUGCCGAUCGGAUCACAAGUUGUUUGGCCACUCGGCUCGUUUCUUAGUCGAAUUCUGGGCUCCCCCUCUCCAUUCGGCUCAUCCUGCCGAAGCGAAUUUACUGCGGAAGUUUUCGAACCCCGCUGAUUCGAUCCAUCAUCGGCUUAAUCGCUUGAUCCUCUGUGGGCGCAUAUUUCGAGGGUCAUAAUCCGCAGCAGUCUUGCAUCCCAACAAUCUUGUCGAGGAGAAUUAUUGACCGGGUCAAGGAUCGGGACGUUCGGCACCCAACAAAUACAAUUCAUUGCAUCUAACACUAGUGAAUUAACCCGUUAGUUGCAUCACGGGACACUUUGGACCGAGUCCUAAUAAUUAAUGAGAAAUACUGUCUACGUCUAACAGAGCCUGUAAUUUCUACAAAUCGUUGAUCACAUUAAUUGUUUUUUGUUUUUUUUUUUUUUUUGGAGAGAAUAGAUGCACGCUAACGAUUCGUUAUUUAUUUAGAAAUAAAUUUAGCUGAAAAUAUGAAAUCACUUAGAAUUGGAAAUUUAGACCUCGAGUACCCACUCAACCAAUCCCUUUACCACCUUGCUCUAAGAACCUCGUUUGAAUCACUAACAUUGGUUAAAAGAUAAAAGUAGGUUUUAUCGAGCUCCAUAGAAUUAGUUAACAGAUGUGAAAAAUCAUGUGUAAAUUUGUACAGAUGGAACACGACGUGAAUUUAAAAACUGAGGUUUCAAUCCAAUAAAUAAAUACUUAACUUAGUUAUUAUUUUAUAUUUUGUAGAGACCUAAUAUAUGUUUACGCUUAAAAUUGCUUUGAUCAAUAUUUAAUCGUCUACUUUGACCUUUCACACGUAUUUGGCAAAUGAUGGUCACAAUUAAUUUUUUUUUUUUUUCUUGAUUUUUUGUUUUAAUAAAAGCUUUCGGAGAACACAUAAAAGUUAUCUACGUCCGUUUCUCGAAUAUUUUUCUUCUCAGCGCGUAAUAUACGCAUCAGCCGGAAUUCUCUUGUCCAACCGUAAUAUCUGCGUGAAUUAUCCAACUAUCUCAAACAUAAUUAUAAGAUGACUUUGA